CCCUGCUGUAAAACUUUGCCCUGCAUUCAUAUGCCAGAUUGGAUAGAACUUGCAUUACGUGUCAUUCUCUAGGUUUCUAGCCUGGAAAUCCACAGGGCAAUUCACACUACCAUGACGCCAACCAAUCAUUCCGAACCCUGAUAUUGAAUCUGCCAAAUGCUUAUUUAGUGGGAAAUUAAGCAGCAUUGAGAUGUUUUCCAGGCUUGGAAAGAAACAGACACUGAUCGUUGCUGCUCCUAUUAACAGCGUGGAGUGCCAGAACCUCUGUCGGACAACUGACACCUGCUGCCAUUUAUUCCAGUUUACACUGUGUGCAUGGAGUGGCACUAAUGCAUCGGAUCUCAAAGUCUCACAGCACUCAUUUUGGAUAUCAGUAGGGGGAAAAGAGUACCAACUUGCAAAUUUAAAUAGUAUAGCAGAAAGAGGUGAAAAGAUUCAACACUACCCACUAUGGGUUGGUGAACUUGACAGAUUUUGCUGAAAUGGAUAAAUUGACUUGUUUGAUUAGAGAAAAGACACUAUCUACAUUUAUUGGUGACUGGAAGCCUCUUAUGGACAUUUUGAGUAAAAAUGAAAAAAAAAUAACUUGUGAUUUAUGGUUUUGAUGAUUAGACAGGGCAGAUUAUAGAAAGAAGAGUAAUAUGAUGUAUUGUUAGAGAGAGAGAUUAAAAUAUAUUGUAUUUAUAACUGCUGUGA